rnacentral:lncRNA from 1 species
GUACUGGCGUGGCGGGUGUGGGCGAGAACCAAACAAACCCAAAAUUUCAGGAUUUUUGGUGGCGACCAAAAUCACUGUUCACCAAAUUUCGGUACGGUUCACCGAAAGCCAUCUUUUUAAUCUGAAUUUUGGUGAUUUCGAUGAAGACCAAGAAAGAAAGGGUGGAAACGAAAUUGAGAACCCUGCUCCGGAUGCUCUUGUCCUCCCACGACAACACCUCCCCGUCUACCCUUCUCCCGUUCUUAUGCCGCUGCCUCCCUCCCAUGUCUCCAUCACUGCCCAUGCAUCUAGGCUCCAUCAAACGACCAGAUCAGCUGACCAGGCAGCAAGGCCGGGUUCAACGGCAGAGGCGAGUCACGGGUUUCGCGGCCACAACCCCACAUGCCAACAAUGGUGGGUGACAAAGACGAGAUCCUCAAUUCCUGCCGGUCCUGCGAUGGAUCGACAAUUCGACAGCAAGAAGCUUUCAAAUUGAUGGCACGAGCACAAGAGGUCGAAGAAGCUGGAGGUGGGAGGAUAUCUGCUCAAAUUCACCGCGUUUUUGUCGAUUUUGUGGAGAGGCGCCAAAGCUCGCUCCACGCCGGGCCAAAGGAAGACGAUGGAACUUUAGCUACAGGAAAAGGAAGUGGAGGGACAGACCAGCCGGGUGAACUAAGGACCUCCCGGCGAGCCACUGUGAAGUGGCAGAUUCAGCGGGGAGCGACGAACAGCGGCCCAGCGCCAUGGAUUUUGUGGCGGCAGUUGGAGAGGAGGCAAGCAUAGCCGCUGCUUUCUGUUGUUGUGCUUGGUCUCGUUGAGAAUUAAGAUUCAUGCAUAUUCUAGGUACAGAGUACAUACGUGUUUGUUGGAUAUCAUGUACUAACUUGAGAGAAGAUGGAAAACGAAGAUGAUAUGUAAUGUAUUUGUCUUGUUCAGUUGUUCCUCGAAAAGGACAGGCAAGAAAUAGUACCAAUUUGUUUUCUUCAAACGGAGAUCAUUCUAUUCCUGUAAAGCAGCUGUAAUUCCAUUCCUGUCUCAUUGAACUGCUUUGGGAUUCAAUUGUACUGCAUCACAAGUUGCUUUCUUUCUGCAUGCAUAAAUUGGUAGCAUUAUUUCUCUGAUACAGGGAAAUAAAAAGAAUAAGAAAGGAAGCAAAUGGAGAGAAUCGCACCUUUAAAUGUCUGGUCAAUUUGGCUUCAUCGGUGUUGUAGGCUCGGAGUGUUUCUGCCCUGAUGAGCCAAGGAUAUAUGAGGACCUCUCAGAUGUGCAGAAGCCCAAACGACGUUGGAACCACCAACAAGAUUACAAGAGCAAUACGAGCAAAAAAGUAGCGCAGACUGGAGUCCCAAAUUCCAAAUGGGUUGGUU